UCGUUUUCUCUUCUGAGAUGUAAACAAAGCGGUACAUUCCUUUCAGCUGGUGAUAAAACUUUCUCUCGCUCUCCCUCGCUCUCCCUCGCUCUCCCUCACUCUCCCACGUCACGGAAGCAGUAAAAUAAAGCACAGGAGGAGGAAGUGAGAGGAUAAUGAAUUUUGGAUGUUUGUGAUACGUCAGAAGGUUUCACUCAUUUCCUGUCGAGAUGUUGAGCAACGGCAACCCUCCAAUCCGGCAAGCAGUUGGCGGCAGCGAUGGCGGGUGGCGGCAGCAGUGGUGGCGAGGCGGACGGCAGGGACAGAGGGGCAGUACAGGGUGCGGACAUCAAGGAGAAGAGGAACGCACGGACAAGCAAGGUGUUAUUCGGCAGUCUGAUCCUGGACCUGGUCGGCUUCAUGGCGGUGGUGCCUCUGUGUCCUGCUCUCCUUGACUGUUACUCCAAGCACAACACCAGCGGCUUGUAUUCCUCUCAGCUCUCCUGUGUGACUUAUUACCAACAUAUCAUCGGUUUCGCUGCGAGGGUUUCAUUCUGUCUUGUUUG